rnacentral:rRNA from 1 species
AGGGCCCUACGGGACGCAGCAGUGAGGAAUAUUGGUCAAUGGGCGGAAGCCUGAACCAGCCAAGUCGCGUGAGGGAAUAAGGCCCUACGGGUCGUAAACCUCUUUUGCCGGGGAGCAAGGGCCGGGACGCGUCCCGGCUCGGAGAGUACCCGGAGAAAAAGCAUCGGCUAACUCCGUGCCAGCAGCCGCGGUAAUACGGAGGAUGCGAGCGUUAUCCGGAUUUAUUGGGUUUAAAGGGUGCGUAGGCGGGCUUUUAAGUC